rnacentral:rRNA from 1 species
CCUACGGGCGACAGCAGUGAGGAAUAUUGGUCAAUGGACGAGAGUCUGACCCAGCCAAGUAGCGUGAAGGAUGACUGCCCUAUGGGUUGUAAACUUCUUUUAUAUGGGAAUAAAAUGUUCCACGUGUGGGAUUUUGUAUGUACCAUAUGAAUAAGAAUCGGCUAACUCCGUGCCAGCAGCCGCGGUAAUACGGAGGAUGCGAGCGUUAUCCGGAUUUAUUGGGUUUAAAGGGAGCGUAGGUGGAGUGUUAAGUCAGUUGUGAAAGUUUGCGGCUCAACCGUAAAAUUGCAUUUGAAACUGGCAGUCUUGAGUACAGUAGAGGUGGGCAGAAUUCGUGGUGUAGCGGUGAAAUGCUUAGAUAUCACGAAGAACUCCGAUUGCGAAGGCAGUUCACUGGACUGCAACUGACACUGAGGCUCGAAAGUGUGGGUAUCAAACAGGAUUAGAUACCCCGGUAGUC